rnacentral:lncRNA from 1 species
CAGACUCUUUGGCCUUCACCACCAGCCUCUGGGCUUUCCCGGGCAGACCCUCAGUCUUCCCUCAAAGACUCCUCGGCUUUCUGAUGCAGACUCAAGAGGACAUUGCUGUGGGACCCAGACCCUCAGCUGGAUUCUUCAGAUCUCCAGUGUACGGACAAGUCUCUUGCACUCUUCUGCACUUGACUUUCAGUAUCCAUUCUGAUUGUAAUUGUGCUAGACUUGAGCCCAGCCAGGAGUGGUUGUGUUACCCUUCCAAAUCCUGACUUCUGCUGGGCACUUCUGGAGGAGUUCUUCUUCAGCUGAAGAAUGCAAUGCCACCUGUGCCCAGGGCUGGCUCAAAGUGCAG